CUCUCUCCAUUUAACCAUUUUUCAUUAAUCUAUUUUUCAUUUAACCACGCAGGUAAAAGAAGUUUAAUGUCCAAGAAACUUGAAGCAAUCUUGGACGUAACUUCCCGAAGGACUGGUGUGGACAUGUCCAACUGAAUAUGUGUACUCUAUUGCCUGCAACAUAACGUUUAUGAGAACGAGAUGUAUAACCAGGAGAGGAAAUCCAGUCUGGACCAGGACGAGUUAGAACCUCUGCAGGUGAAACAAGAAAAAGAAGAGCCAGAAGAUCAACAGAUAAAAGAAGAGCAGCUGGAUCUAGAAUAUCAACAAAUAAAAGUGGAAGAGAAAGAAGAUUACUGUAGUCAGGGUGAAGAACAGCUUGAAUUAAAACAGGAGACUGAUACCUGCAUGGUGGUUCCUGUUUAUGAACAAACAAACCAAACUGAAUCAGAACCAAACAAGAAGCAAGUUGUCUUCCAGGAAGCUGCUGAAGCUGAGAAGCAAAAUCAGAAAAGAAGAAAACCUUUCUCCUGUGUGACGUGUAAAAAGCGUUUUGCUUUCAAAUGUUCUCUUGAUGCUCAUAUGAGGAUUCACACAGGUGAAAAGCCGUUUUCAUGUGUGACCUGUGGAAAAAGUUUUAGU